CGAGCGAGAAGGCGGUGCUGGUGGUAGGUCGCUGGCCGCAGAAGGGGUAGAACGCAGCCGGGACCAAGGAGAAGUUACAUCUUCGGGGAUCAGGGAGAAGAGAAUUUCACCCCUGACUCCUAAGAGGGGCCUUCAACCCAGGGAGUCACACCAGGAACCCAGUCCAAAAGAAGGACACUUGCAUCUCCCUGAUAAGGAUGGGUUUCUGUGCCUCAGAGACCCCUACCUACCACCAGGCACCCCGGCCCUCCAUGCGCCCACUCAGGACCGUGCCCUUCCUCAGACCCUGCGACUGAAGAUCUGGCUUCUCGAUCUCCUACCCCACCUCACUGAACCUAGGCCAGAGUCUCCAGGGCAGACCUUGAAUACCCCUCGCCUAAAAGGGGUCUCUACAAUCAUCA